rnacentral:tRNA from 1 species
UCCUUUGUGGCUCAUACAGUAAAGAAUUUGCCUGCAAUGCAGAAGACCCAGGUUCGAUCCCUGGGAUGGGAA